UACGUAGGGUGCAAGCGUUGUCCGGAAUUAUUGGGCGUAAAGAGCUCGUAGGCGGCCUGUUGCGUCCGCUGUGAAAGCCCGGGGCUUAACCCCGGGUCGGCAGUGGAUACGGGCAGGCUAGAGGUAGGUAGGGGAGAAUGGAAUUCCCGGUGUAGCGGUGAAAUGCGCAGAUAUCGGGAGGAACACCGGUGGCGAAGGCGGCAUCCUGGACCAACACUGACACUGAGGAGCGAAAGCCAGGGGAGCAAACGGG
rnacentral:rRNA from 1 species